CAGUCGCCGCGGUAACACGUAGGGUGCGAGCGUUAAUCGGAAUUACUGGGCGUAAAGCGGGCGCAGACGGUUACUUAAGCAGGAUGUGAAAUCCCCGGGCUCAACCUGGGAACUGCGUUCUGAACUGGGUAACUAGAGUGUGUCAGAGGGAGGUAGAAUUCCACGUGUAGCAGUGAAAUGCGUAGAGAUGUGGAGGAAUACCGAUGGCGAAGGCAGCCUCCUGGGAUAACACUGACGUUCAUGCCCGAAAGCGUGGGGAGCAAACAGGAUUAGAUACCCCUGUAGUCCCUGUCUCUUAUAC
rnacentral:rRNA from 1 species